UCCUCUUCCUUUGUGGGCUGGCCUCUCCUCCUAUACCGGAGGAAACUAACCCUGUGUGGACAAACACGACAAUGCUGACACUCAGAA
rnacentral:miRNA from 1 species